rnacentral:rRNA from 1 species
GGACUACUAGGGUAUCUAAUCCCGUUUGCUCCCCUGGCUUUCGUGUCUCAGCGUCAGCACAGCCCCAGCUACCUGUUUUCACCAUUGGCGUUCCAAAUGAUAUCUACGCAUUUCACCGCUCCACCAUUUGUUCCGGUAGCCCCUAGCUGGCUCAAGACUGGCAGUAUACCAAGCAGUUCCACAGUUAAGCUGUGGGAUUUCACAAGGUACUUACCGAUCCGCCUACACACGCUUUAAGCCCAGUGAUUCCGCCUAACGCUCGAGACCUCUGUAUUACCGCGGCGGCUGGCAC